GUUUGUGCUGAGUUUCACCAUAUCAGAGAAAGAUGUUGCAUGACAUACUAAAUGUUUGAUCUUCAGGUCAACAUGAAACGAGCCCUUCAUGGUCUCCCAGUGUAUGUGUGUGAGGAGAACUGUUCUUCAGGACAUGAAAUCUGCAAAUCAUUUGUCCUUUCCUCUGAGGAAUCUGGAUAUGUGACGAAAAGACUUUGAAUCCUCCCCGGCACCCAAAUCUACUCAGCUGAGUUCAUACUUCUUGAGGCUCGAAAGGAAUAUUCAGUUCCAGAAUAAUGUUACUCAUAAAUAAAUUACUCAGAGACUUUUCUUUUAAUAAAGUU
ensembl:lncRNA